GAACGACCCGCGAAUCGUCAUUGCGUACUAGACAGAGACCGUGAGCACCUAACGCUCACGGGGCUCGCGUCGCGUCGCGUCGGAGCGGGUGUCCUCGAGACGCGCCGUACCGGCGGACAAACAAUGUCAGCACGGAUCGUGCCAAGGAGCUUUAUUGAGAGAAUCGUCGUCCCACGCCUCUGAUAGUCCUCGAUGCGGGACGGGGGGCGGGGGGACGUACGCAAUCUCUACCCAAAGUCUAAACGACUCUCGGCAACGGAUAUCUCGGCUCUUGCAUCGAUGAAGAACGUAGCGAUAUAUGCGAUACUUGGUGUGAAUUGCAGAAUCCCGCGAACCAUCAAUUCUUUGAACGCAAGUUGCGCCCGAAGCCAUACGGCCGAGGGCACGCCUGCCUGGGUGUCGUGAAUCCCCUUGCCCCUAGGCACCCGCACGAGCAUUGGCGGGGAUAUAUGCUGGGGCGCANNAAUAUGGUCUCCCGUGGGAUCGGCAUGCACGGCAUGUCGAGGUGCGGUUGGCCGAAAAUCGAGCAUGGCGGUGACGGGCACCACGGCGUUCGGUGGAUCGAAUGAGAUUGGCUGCGUCAGUGGGCUCGGCAUGCGGCGGGCUCCGGACUUCUGAUUAUCCCCGAGUGCGAUCCCAGGUCAGGCGGGGCUACCCGCUGAGUNUAAGCAUAUCAUAUAAGCGGAGGAAAAGAAACUAA
rnacentral:rRNA from 1 species